AUAAUGACGGUACUUGAGGAGGAAGCCCCGGCUAACUACGUGCCAGCAGCCGCGGUAAUACGUAGGGGGCUAGCGUUAUCCGGAGUUACUGGGCGUAAAGGGUGCGUAGGCGGUCUUUCAAGUCAGGGGUGAAAGGCUACGGCUCAACCGUAGUAAGCUCUUGAAACUGGGAGACUUGAGUGCAGGAGAGGAGAGUGGAAUUCCUAGUGUAG
rnacentral:rRNA from 1 species